rnacentral:rRNA from 1 species
AUUGAACGCUGGCGGCAGGCCUAACACAUGCAAGUCGAGCGGUUGACGGGAGCUUGCUCCCUGAUUCAGCGGCGGACGGGUGAGUAAUGCCUAGGAAUCUGCCUAUUAGUGGGGGACAACGUUUCGAAAGGGACGCUAAUACCGCAUACGUCCUACGGGAGAAAGCAGGGGACCUUCGGGCCUUGCGCUAAUAGAUGAGCCUAGGUCGGAUUAGCUUGUUGGUGAGGUAAUGGCUCACCAAGGCGACGAUCCGUAACUGGUCUGAGAGGAUGAUCAGUCACACUUGAACUGAGACACGGUCCAGACUCCUACGGGAGGCAGCAGUGGGGAAUAUUGGACAAUGGGCGAAAGCCUGAUCCAGCCAUGCCGCGUGUGUGAAGAAGGUCUUCGGAUUGUAAAGCACUUUAAGUUGGGAGGAAGGGUUGUAGAUUAAUACUCUGCAAUUUUGACGUUACCGACAGAAUAAGCACCGGCUAACUCUGUGCCAGCAGCCGCCGUAAUAC